UACGAAGGGGGCUAGCGUUGCUCGGAAUUACUGGGCGUAAAGGGAGCGUAGGCGGAUAGUUUAGUCAGAGGUGAAAGCCCAGGGCUCAACCCUGGAAUUGCCUCCGAGACUGAUGGACUCGAGUUCGGGAGAGGAGAGCGGAAUUCCCAGUGUAGAGGUGAAAUUCGUAGAUAUUGGGAAGAACACCGGUGGCGAAGGCGGCUCACUGGCUCAUUACUGACGCUCAGGCGCGAUAGCGUGGGGAUCAAACAGG
rnacentral:rRNA from 1 species